CAUUAUUGAAUGACGCCUUGAUGGGUUGUCGCUGGCUCUAAAACAGAGCAUGUGCACGCCUGUCUUGACUUCUAUUCAUCCACCUGUGCACCUUUUGUAGUCUUUUUGGGGGCUGGGGAAACGACAGUUAUUAAUAACUAUCGGUUGAACCUCCCACUGGAGACUAUGUUUUAUUCAUAUACCAUAUAGUAUGUUAUAGAAUGUUGUCAAUGGGCACUUGUGCCUAUAUAAAAUCUAUACAACUUUCAGCAACGGAUCUCUUGGCUCUCGCAUCGAUGAAGAACGCAGCGAAAUGCGAUAAGUAAUGUGAAUUGCAGAAUUCAGUGAAUCAUCGAAUCUUUGAACGCACCUUGCGCUCCUUGGACAUUCCGAGGAGCAUGCCUGUUUGAGUGUCAUUAUAUUCUCAACCCCACCAGCUUUUGUGGCUGGCCCUUGGGGCUUGGAUGUGGAGGUUUUGCUGGCCCACAAGGUCAGCUCCUCUGAAAUGUAUUAGCGGAACCGUUUGCGAUCCGUCACAGGUGUGAUAAUUAUCUACGCCAGUGGGUUGCUUUCUGAAUGUUCAGCUUAUAAUCGUCCAGUUAAUGGACAACUUAAUGAACGCUUGGCCU
rnacentral:rRNA from 1 species